GACGAACGUUGGCGGCGUGCCUAAUACAUGCAAGUCAACUGAAAUACCGGUAGCAAUACUGGUAUGGAGGUGGCGCACGGGUGAGUAACACGUAGGUAAUCUGCCUUCAGGUCUGACAUAACCCAUCGAAAGGUGAGCUAAUAUCAGAUGAUGCAGCGGCUUGACAUCAAGACAGUUGUUAAAGCUUCGGCGCCUGAAGAUGAGCCUGCGCUGAUUAGCUAGUUGGCGGGGUAACGGCCCACCAAGGCUGCGAUCAGUAGCUGGUCUGAGAGGAUGAUCAGUCACACUGGAACUGAGACACGGUCCAGACUCCUACGGGAGCAGCAGUAAGGAACAUUGCUCAAUGGCCGAAAGGCUGAAGCAGCAACGCCGCGUGAGGGAUGAAGGGCUUUUG
rnacentral:rRNA from 1 species